GUACAGUUUGAUCGCACACUUUGUCGAGGUCGAAGUUACUUCUGAUUUUCAGCUGGAAAUAUUAGCUCGGACAUCAACAGCCAUGAUGAUCAAGAAAGGUUACCAACGACUAUUUUUUGCGUCGUUUUGUUGGUCAUCAUCGGGACGUCAGUGGCCAGUUCAUUCCAUCCAAACUGCGACCGAGCCUGUACCUUCGAAUUGGAUCCCAUCUGCGGCAGCGACGGAAGGAACUACUCUAAUCGCUGCCACUUCGAAAUCGGGAAAUGUCGUAAUCCUCGCUUGAGGAUACAAUGCAAAGGAAGGUGUGAGGAAUGUUUGUACGGAUGAAGUCGUUAGCCCUACGCCCUUCUUCAUCCUCUUCGUGACCUACAGCAGUAGCCUCUCUAUCAG